UGUGACGUCAAACGUUCUAGUGGACGGCCACUGGACGGCAAGAGGACGGCAGAGUGCAGCAUUAAUGAAUGGAUUCCUAUGGGACUCGCAACGUUUAGUAACUCAUAACCUAACUUGGAUCACCGAUAAACUAAACACCGUAAACACCCAUUGUGCUGUUUGUUACAAAAACAGAUAGGGUUACAAACCAGGCGUGACUUUUCAUUGGAUCUCAAAAUAAAACGAGAAAGCUGAGGUGAAUCGCGGCAACCAACUGGAAAACCAUCAAACUAGCCUACUCGAGUAGCCUGGAUGAGCACCACGAUGAGAAGAGCGAUGAUCUGAUGUCAUGACACAUUGGAUGUAUGGAAGAGCCAGAGGUCCAGCACACCAAGCCAAGUUUAGCCGAUUUCAACCUAUCACACCAACUCAAUGUAGUAAUCAGUUCAUUCAAUGGCUCAAAGACUUUAUUUUUAGACACAAAGUACAAAUACAUUUCAAGGUUAUGUAGGUGAUGGGAGGGGAUAUCUAUUCUGGGGUGGACAUGUACAAUAGACGUGCAAGUACUUAUUUAUAUUAAUAAAUGGUUAUCUGAACUAGGCCUGUAAUAGUCAACCCAUUGAUGCUGGAUGCUGUGAACACGUUGUAUUGACCUAGGUGCCUGGAGCGACACAGCAUUCAGGCAUGACAUAUUAGAUUUUUUUUAGAUUAAAAAUGUGGGUAUGUUAGAGCUGAAUUAACAUCUUCUAAUGCAAGAGGAUGGUCUUAGCUUUUAAAACUAAUUUCAUGUCUGUAUAUGUAUAUUCAGAGACUUAUUUAGUUACAGGUAUUUGUUUUUUUAUAGGAUGAGGGCACCUUUCUUAAAAAGGGCAUAGGCAAUUAGCUGGCAUUUUUUGCAGGUGCCAGCUAAAAUGAGUUAAUAUUAUUUACAUACAGCUCUAUCCCCAUACCAGUAUACCCACGUCACCUGAGAUAUACAUUUAGUGGAGACAAUGUAAUUAGUUAGACUAGACUGAAGAUUGACAGGCGGUCAUGGGUAAGUGGUUAGAGUGUCAGCCUUGUAUCCCAAAGGUUGCCGGUUGGACUCCCGACCCACCAGGUUGGUGGGGGGAGUUAAAUAAUCAGUGCUCUCCCCCAUCCUCCUCCAUGACAGAGAGUGCGUCUUAAUAUGCAACCUUGCCUCCUCCACUUGCGCUUGUCUCCUCGUCCCGCCUCCUGGCCCCUCCUCCGUGGAGAAAACAAUAAAGUUUCCCAGCUGUCAGCCUAGCCACAACAACUUUUGAGGGACUGUUUUUCAUUCACCAUCCCAAUUGCAAAUGAGAAAAAGACUCUGCAAUUGAGCUUUUGCAAGAUAUUGAAAUAUAAUGAUGUCCGUGAUGUCAUCAUGACGAGAAGCAAGUGGAGGAGGCAAGGUCCCAUAUUAAGACGCACUCUGAGAUACCCUGAGAAUGGUACCGCCGCACUUCGGGCGCCAUUGGGGACUGCCGCCUUGCACGGGUGAAGCAUAAAUGCAAUUUCGUGCAGUGAACACUUGUGUGCUGUGUCACAAUGUCAAUGGGAGUUGGAGUUUCCCAGUUGGGCUUUCACUUCACGUUCACAGAAAAUGUUCUACGUUGUUGUAUUAGUGCAAUAAAAUAAGCAAAACAUG